CAUGAGUACUCCAGCACUGGCAUUCCUGAUUCCUGUUCAACUUUCCUGUGUCAUGCUUCCUGAACCCAUUUCACCUUUAUACUCUUGAGAUUCACAGAAGACCCCAAGGAGCUUUAGCUUCAGAUAUCCAUCCCACCCGACUUUCAUGUUAUCGCAACGUCUUCAAUGAAACAGGAAUAAAUAUUGAUAGAAAAACAACACAGGAACAAAGAAUUUGAAGGAAACAGAGCAACUUCUCCUAAGAAAAAUGGACAUUCACACAGAAAACCUCAAAUUCAUACAAACUUCAGAAAGCUUUUAAGUUUCCAGAUUAAACUCCAGUACUUUAGAUGAAGAAGAAGCAUGGGCUUAAGUUGGAGAGAGCUUACUCUGUUCCAGUGGUGACUUCAAGCUGUGCCUGAUCUGUAGAAGGUGACUUUGGCCACUCCUGGCAGGCCAGAAGUGGCAACAGAAGUGAAAUCUCCAUCUCAGGAGCAGAUUGAAUGAAGUUGAUAUGUAUGCACCCCAGCAAACUCCCCCCCUACAGCGGAAUGACUCUGAAACAUCGGUUUUGCAGCAUUUCCCUAUUACAGCAAGAUUACGCUUCAGUCACCCUGCCUUCCUGCCUCUCUAUCGGUUCCUCAUUUCCUUACUUAUUCUUUGUACUCCCAAAUAAACUAUCAGCACAUCAA